CUGAGCUAGGCCGAGCCAGAGCCGGGGGAAGGGGCUGGGCUGGGUCAGGCCAGGCCAGGGCCGAGGGAAGGGACUGAGCUGAGCUGGGCCAGGGCCAAGCCUGGGCCGAGGGAAGGGGCAGGGCCGCGCCGGGGGCUGAGUUGAGCUGAGCGGGGCCGGGUCAGAGCCGAGGGAAGGGGCUGGGCUGGGCCGGGCCAGGGUCAAGGGAAGGGGUUGAGCUGGGCUGGGUUGAGCCAGGCUAAGGCCGGGGGAAGGGGCAGAGCCUGGCCAGGGCAAGGUGAAAGGCAGGGGAGUAGCUGGUGUGUGUUAGGGGCGAGUAGGUUGAGGGGAUGUGCUGGCCCGGGGGAGGCUGGGGGCAGGGAGAGGGGACCCGGCAGGGCUGGGGAGCUGCUCCAGGGAGGGGCAGGCCUCUGUGGAGGUGGGUGAAGGAGGGUCAGGCCUGGAGGAAGGGAGGUAGCAGAAGACUGUGGGGAGGAGGAGGUGUCUCUACCUUGAGAGUGGAGCUGAGGGGAAGCAGAGUCACAAGGGCUGGAGACAGAGGCAGGGUAGGGGCAGAGGGAAAACUGCGCCUGAAAGGUUGAGGGAAAGAGAAUUGGAGGAAAAGGAAGGAAGAAUGAGGUAGGAGGUAAUGUCUGCAGCAAAAGGAAAACCUUCACGUGAACUUGUUUCCCCCUUCGCUCCGACUCCUGGCCCGCUGCUAGGGCAGCUGUUCAUCUGCAAGCCCCAGGCACAGCCAGGGCCGUGAUUUGCAUGGGUACGAGGCGGGACCCCAGUUGCUGCAGCACAGACAGAUCAUCCACCGCACACACAGUGCUCAUUUUUUUUAAAUCAAGUAGUCAUAACUUUUUUACAAUGUGACACAGAACAGCUGCUGUGAGCUCACAUAUAUGCUGCCUGCCCAAACAAAGCAGGGAAUUAAAGCUUCUUGGAGUUAAAAGUUCACUCUGUAGAUUCAAGAUUGAGUGAACAAAAGGCAGUAACUACUCGGUUGUGUUAAUAAAGCCCUAGCAGUGUGA